rnacentral:rRNA from 1 species
GAAGUUGAGUGGCGGACGGGUGAGUAAGCACGGUGGGUAACCUGCCUAAAAGAAGGGGAUAACACUUGGAAACAGGUGCUAAUACCGUAUAUCUCUAAGGAUCGCAUGAUCCUUAGAUGAAAGAUGGUUCUGCUAUCGCUUUUAGAUGGACCCGCGGCGUAUUAACUAGUUGGUGGGGUAACGGCCUACCAAGGUGAUGAUACGUAGCCGAACUGAGAGGUUGAUCGGCCACAUUGGGACUGAGACACGGCCCAAACUCCUACGGGAGGCAGCAGUAGGGAAUCUUCCACAAUGGACGCAAGUCUGAUGGAGCAACGCCGCGUGAGUGAAGAAGGUCUUCGGAUCGUAAAACUCUGUUGUUAGAGAAGAACACGAGUGAGAGUAACUGCUCAUUCGAUGACGGUAUCUAACCAGCAAGUCACGGCUAACUACGUGCCAGCAGCCGCGGUAAUACGUAGGUGGCAAGCGUUGUCCGGAUUUAUUGGGCGUAAAGGGAACGCAGGCGGUCUUUUAAGUCUGAUGUGAAAGCCUUCGGCUUAACCGGAGUAGUGCAUUGGAAACUGGAAGACUUGAGUGCAGAAGAGGAGAGUGGAACUCCAUGUGUAGCGGUGAAAUGCGUAGAUAUAUGGAAGAACACCAGUGGCGAAAGCGGCUCUCUGGUCUGUAACUGACGCUGAGGUUCGAAAGCGUGGGUAGCAAACAGGAUUAGAUACCCUGGUAGUCCACGCCGUAAACGAUGAAUGCUAGGUGUUGGAGGGUUUCCGCCCUUCA